GGUUAAGCGAACAAGCGUACACGGUGGAUGCCCUGGCAGUCAGAGGCGAUGAAGGACGUGCUAAUCUGCGAAAAGCGCCGGUAAGGUGAUAUGAACCGUUAUAACCGGCGAUGUCCGAAUGGGGAAACCCGGUGCACUUCGGUGCAUCAUCGUUAGCUGAAUACAUAGGCUAACGAGGCGAACCGGGGGAACUGAAACAUCUAAGUACCCCGAGGAAAAGAAAUCAACCGAGAUUCCCCCAGUAGCGGCGAGCGAACGGGGAACAGCCCAGAGCCUGAAUCAGCUUGUGUGUCAGUGGAACGGUCUGGAAAGGCCGGCGAUACAGGGUGACAGCCCCGUACACGAAGGCACACAGGCUGUGAGCUCGAUGAGUAGGGCGGGACACGUGAUAUCCUGUCUGAAGAUGGGGGGACCAUCCUCCAAGGCUAAAUACUCCUGACUGACCGAUAGUGAACCAGUACCGUGAGGGAAAGGCGAAAAGAACCCCGGCGAGGGGAGUGAAACAGAACCUGAAACCGUGUACGUACAAGCAGUGGGAGCCUUCGUAAGAGGGUGACUGCGUACCUUUUGUAUAAUGGGUCAGCGACUUAUAUUCUGUAGCAAGGUUAACCGUAUAGGGGAGCCGAAGGGAAACCGAGUCUUAACCGGGCGUUAAGUUGCAGGGUAUAGACCCGAAACCCGGUGAUCUAGCCAUGGGCAGGUUGAAGGUUGGGUAACACUAACUGGAGGACCGAACCGACUAAUGUUGAAAAAUUAGCGGAUGACCUGUGGCUGGGGGUGAAAGGCCAAUCAAACCGGGAGAUAGCUGGUUCUCCCCGAAAGCUAUUUAGGUAGCGCCUCGUGAACUCAUCUCCGGGGGUAGAGCACUGUUUCGGCUAGGGGGCCAUCCCGGCUUACCAACCCGAUGCAAACUGCGAAUACCGGAGAAUGUUAUCACGGGAGACACACGGCGGGUGCUAACGUCCGUCGUGAAGAGGGAAACAACCCAGACCGCCAGCUAAGGUCCCAAAGUCAUGGUUAAGUGGGAAACGAUGUGGGAAGGCCCAGACAGCCAGGAUGUUGGCUUAGAAGCAGCCAUCAUUUAAAGAAAGCGUAAUAGCUCACUGGUCGAGUCGGCCUGCGCGGAAGAUGUAACGGGGCUAAACCAUGCACCGAAGCUGCGGCAGCGACACUGUGUGUUGUUGGGUAGGGGAGCGUUCUGUAAGCCUGCGAAGGUGUGCUGUGAGGCAUGCUGGAGGUAUCAGAAGUGCGAAUGCUGACAUAAGUAACGAUAAAGCGGGUGAAAAGCCCGCUCGCCGGAAGACCAAGGGUUCCUGUCCAACGUUAAUCGGGGCAGGGUGAGUCGACCCCUAAGGCGAGGCCGAAAGGCGUAGUCGAUGGGAAACAGGUUAAUAUUCCUGUACUUGGUGUUACUGCGAAGGGGGGACGGAGAAGGCUAUGUCGGCCGGGCGACGGUUGUCCCGGUUUAAGCGUGUAGGCUGACUUUCCAGGCAAAUCCGGAAAGUUAAGGCUGAGGCGUGAUGACGAGGCACCACGGUGCUGAAGUGACAAAUGCCCUGCUUCCAGGAAAAGCCUCUAAGCAUCAGGUAACAUCAAAUCGUACCCCAAACCGACACAGGUGGUCAGGUAGAGAAUACCAAGGCGCUUGAGAGAACUCGGGUGAAGGAACUAGGCAAAAUGGUGCCGUAACUUCGGGAGAAGGCACGCUGACAUGUAGGUGAAGCCCCUGCGGGUGGAGCUGAAGUCAGUCGAAGAUACCAGCUGGCUGCAACUGUUUAUUAAAAACACAGCACUGUGCAAACACGAAAGUGGACGUAUACGGUGUGACGCCUGCCCGGUGCCGGAAGGUUAAUUGAUGGGGUUAUCGCAAGAGAAGCUCCUGAUCGAAGCCCCGGUAAACGGCGGCCGUAACUAUAACGGUCCUAAGGUAGCGAAAUUCCUUGUCGGGUAAGUUCCGACCUGCACGAAUGGCGUAAUGAUGGCCAGGCUGUCUCCACCCGAGACUCAGUGAAAUUGAACUCGCUGUGAAGAUGCAGUGUACCCGCGGCAAGACGGAAAGACCCCGUGAACCUUUACUACAGCUUGACACUGAACAUUGAGCCUUGAUGUGUAGGAUAGGUGGGAGGCUUUGAAGCGUGGACGCCAGUCUGCGUGGAGCCGACCUUGAAAUACCACCCUUUAAUGUUUGAUGUUCUAACCUGGCGCCGUGAUCCGGCGUGGGGACAGUGUCUGGUGGGUAGUUUGACUGGGGCGGUCUCCUCCCAAAGUGUAACGGAGGAGCACGAAGGUCAGCUAAUCCUGGUCGGACAUCAGGAGGUUAGUGCAAUGGCAUAAGCUGGCUUGACUGCGAGAGUGACGGCUCGAGCAGGUGCGAAAGCAGGUCAUAGUGAUCCGGUGGUUCUGUAUGGAAGGGCCAUCGCUCAACGGAUAAAAGGUACUCCGGGGAUAACAGGCUGAUACCGCCCAAGAGUUCAUAUCGACGGCGGUGUUUGGCACCUCGAUGUCGGCUCAUCACAUCCUGGGGCUGAAGUAGGUCCCAAGGGUAUGGCUGUUCGCCAUUUAAAGUGGUACGCGAGCUGGGUUUAGAACGUCGUGAGACAGUUCGGUCCCUAUCUGCCGUGGGCGCUGGAGAAUUGAGGGGGGCUGCUCCCAGUACGAGAGGACCGGAGUGGACGCAUCACUGGUGUUCGGGUUGUCAUGCCAAUGGCACUGCCCGGUAGCUAAAUGCGGAAGAGAUAAGUGCUGAAAGCAUCUAAGCACGAAACUUGCCCCGAGAUGAGUUCUCCCUGAGACUAUAAGUCUCCUGAAGGAACGUUGAAGACGACGACGUUGAUAGGCCGGGUGUGUAAGCGCAGCGAUGCGUUGAGCUAACCGGUACUAAUGAACCGUGAGGCUUAACCUU
rfam:Cronobacter sakazakii ATCC BAA-894, complete genome.